rnacentral:misc_RNA from 1 species
AUACAAUAUAAUGUCCCAGGAGCACAAAAUCAAUCCAACCAUCAAGAAUUCUGGUUGUGCAUCAAAUCCAGGGUAUUAUCAAAGAAUGGAAGCUGUUGAUUUAUAGUUAACUAAAGAGGUGCAAUUCCCCGAAGAGCUAUCAUUUCACUUUAAGGUGCUCCAAGAUUGGUAGUUGCUGAGACUAUUGUUACAUUCAACUUUCUCAUUCGAGCUGCAAAAGUCCCUGCUACCGCACUGAAAUCCAAUCCGAUUCUAAUCUCUCCAAACUUAAUGUUAAGCACUUCAGGUAUCAGAAUAUCUGCAGUAGGAUUCAUGUUGAGAUCAAGAUUUGUGUGUUUGAUCCAUCUGGCAUUUCAUGAGCUGUGAGAUUGAAGCAAUCCGCACACUUAAAGAACCCCUGGCGAAGUUUUUGCAUCUAUACUUGCACCAGCGGACAUUUCUAUUAUUAGGAAGCUUCCACAUGGAGUCAUUUUAUAGGGAAUGGCUUGCUGUAUAGUUGAGGGGCUCUUGAGAAGCACCUCCUCCUUGGCAAUGGAUCACAUCCAUGAACCAUCAGCCUCUGAGCCAGUUUCCAGUCAUCAUUGCGGAAUUCCCCAAUAUCGUAAUCCAUAUACUCUUCAAGCUCUUUCCUCAUGGCAAAACAAGCGUGGCCAGUGCUUGUGAACAUUCCGUUAGCUCCCAUGAAGUUUUGUUUCCCUAAUCUGUUGGGUUUGAUCCUUAAAUGCUUUCGAAUCUCUUCUAUCAGGAAGAAAUCAGCAGGCUCAUCUGAUCUUUGCUUUUGCCUUAGUAAAGGAUGGAGGGCUCCAAUUUCAGUGUUUUGCUAAGGGGCUCCUUCAUCUGAAGGCGAAGAUGCCUGUAACGACUAAAUGUGCCCCAAAAU